GCUUCCUGUCACAGAGCAUCACCUGAGCAGGCUUCACUGGGUGAGCUGACUGGUUGCAGGAGCAGGAACAGUUCCAGAACAAGUCAUGACACUCACCACCCAGGAGUGGAGUUAUGCAUCAUAUGGUGAAAACAUCCCAGCAAGAAGGCGAGGCGUCAUGAAGAGGCUGGUGGGCGCUGUGCUGGGGCUUCUGUGUGCCCAGGUUUGCUGUGUGACAGGGGAGGAUGUGGAGCAGAGUCCACCAGUCCUGAUUGUCCCGGAGGGAGCCCCCUCCACGCUGUGGUGCAGUUUUUCUAGCUCUCUGCCCAAUGUGCACUGGUAUCGUCAGAACCCUGGGAGCCGCCUCAUCCACCUGUUUUACGUUGCUUCAGGGAUGAAGCACGAUGGAAGAUUCAGUGCCACAGCAUUCGCUAAAGAACGCCGCAGCUCCUUGAACAUUUCCUCCUCCCAGACCGCAGACUCAGCCACUUACUUCUGUGCUGUGAGCACAGUGCUCCCCGGGCACCUGCAGCCUGAACACAAACCCUCAGCGAGCUCGGCCCCCUCCAGCCACAGUCUCACCGUGAGGCCCCACACUCAUGUGUAG